GGACGGUGACGAUUUCAUUGUGAAAGGUCUCGUUCGUCGUAAUUGGCUAAUGUAUUAGCCUUGCCGACCAUCCUGAUAUAUCACCACCCAUAUUCUGAGUCC